GGUUGGGAUUCUAGAACUAUCAGUAGCCAUGUCUUCACUAGAAUGUGGUCAACAUACAGAAGUAGAGAGCAGCUGGAGAGAUGGAGAAAGAGAAAGCAUACUGGUGUAAUUUGAGAUGAACUAUCCUGUUAACCUUAAGGAUGUCUAUCUUGGUUCCACGCUGUUUACCUGUCAAAGAGAAUGAAUAGAGCAUCCUUAGCGCUUGCUAUUUGCCCAGAAAAAUAUGUUUUCAGGUCCUUAAUGUGAUCAAAAACAACACAGACUGGCAGGUCAUCCCUCCUCCUUACUGGACUAUUUCUAACUGGGCUCAUUACAGAGCCUCUAAACAGUGAGAGUGAAAAGCCUCGAACACGAAGCUCGUUAAGGAAUUCAUCUUGGUCUUCCCCUCACUCCUCACCACAAUGCUCUAGUGAUUAUAUUCAGUCCAAUUAUGUAUGUUCUACAUGUAAUUAAAAUGUACAAGAUGAUCAGAUUGCAUAAGCUUUGAAAUGGUCUUCUUAUAAAACAGAGUAUCAUUAAUAUUAGAGUGAGGAGAGAAACCGAAUUUUGCAAAGAAGGAAUGAAUGUGAGAUUGAGCUAGAGGAGAUUGGAUGAAUGGGUUAGUCAAGCUGGGAUGGAGAAGUAAUGAA